rnacentral:rRNA from 1 species
UACGGAGGGUGCGAGCGUUGUCCGGAAUCACUGGGCGUAAAGGGCGCGUAGGCGGCAUGCCAAGCGUGUGGUGAAAGCCCGGGGCUCAACCCCGGGUCGGCCGUGCGGACUGGCGUGCUUGAGCACUGUAGGGGCGGGUGGAAUUCCGGGUGUAGCGGUGGAAUGCGUAGAGAUCCGGAAGAACACCGGUGGCGAAGGCGGGUCUCUGGGCCGUAACUGACGCUGAGGAGCGAAAGCGUGGGGAGCGAACAGG